UGGGGAAUAUUGGACAAUGGGGGAAACCCUGAUCCAGCGAUGCCGCGUGUGCGAAGAAGGCCUGCGGGUUGUAAAGCACUUUAGUUGGGGAAGAAUGAGCGUAGUUCGAAUAGAAUUACGCAGUGACGUUACCCAAAGAAUAAGCACCGGCUAACUCUGUGCCAGCAGCCGCGGUAAUACAGAGGGUGCGAGCGUUAAUCGGAAUUACUGGGCGUAAAGGGCGCGUAGGCGGUUGUAUAAGUUAGAUGUGAAAUCCCCGGGCUUAACCUGGGAAUGGCAUUUAAUACUGUAUGACUAGAGUAGAGUAGAGGGAAGUGGAAUUUCCGGUGUAGUGGUGAAAUACGUAGAUAUCGGAAAGAACACCAGUGGCGAAGGCGGCUUCCUGGACUCAUACUGACGU
rnacentral:rRNA from 1 species